GUACACUCCUACGGGAGGCAGCAGUGGGGAAUAUUGGACAAUGGGCGCAAGCCUGAUCCAGCCAUGCCGCGUGAGUGAUGAAGGCCCUAGGGUUGUAAAGCUCUUUCACCGGUGAAGAUAAUGACGGUAACCGGAGAAGAAGCCCCGGCUAACUUCGUGCCAGCAGCCGCGGUAAUACGAAGGGGGCUAGCGUUGUUCGGAUUUACUGGGCGUAAAGCGCACGUAGGCGGACUAUUAAGUCAGGGGUGAAAUCCCGGGGCUCAACCCCGGAACUGCCUUUGAUACUGGUAGUCUUGAGUUCGGGAGAGGUGAGUGGAAUUCCGAGUGUAGAGGUGAAAUUCGUAGAUAUUCGGAGGAACACCAGUGGCGAAGGCGGCUCACUGGCUCGAUACUGACGCUGAGGUGCGAAAGCGUGGGGAGCAAACAGGAUUAGAUACCCUUGUAGUCCCAUGA
rnacentral:rRNA from 1 species